rnacentral:tRNA from 1 species
CAGAAUUUAGUUUAUUUAAAAUAGUGGCUUUGGAAGUUACAGAUGGGGUUCCUUUUUCUGA